rnacentral:rRNA from 1 species
GGGGGACUGACCCCCUCCGUGCCGGAGUUAACACAAUAAGUAUUCCACCUGGGGAGUACGAUCGCAAGGUUGAAACUCAAAGGAAUUGACGGGGGCCCGCACAAGCAGUGGAUUAUGUGGUUUAAUUCGAAGCAACGCGAAGAACCUUACCAGGGCUUGACAUCCAACUAACGAAGCAGAGAUGCAUUAGGUGCCCUUCGGGGAAAGUUGAGACAGGUGGUGCAUGGUUGUCGUCAGCUCGUGUCGUGAGAUGUUGGGUUAAGUCCCGCAACGAGCGCAACCCUUAUUGUUAGUUGCUACGAAAGAGCACUCUAGCGAGACUGCCGUUGACAAAACGGAGGAAGGUGGGGACGACGUCAAAUCAUCAUGCCCCUUAUGUCCUGGGCUACACACGUAAUACAAUGGCGUUUAACAGAGGGAAGCAAGACCGCGAGGUGGAGCAAAUCCCUAAAAGGCGUCUCAGUUCGGAUUGCAGGCUGCAACUCGCCUGCAUGAAGUCGGAAUUGCUAGUAAUCGCGGAUCAGCACGCCGCGGUGAAUACGUUCCCGGGCCUUGUACACACCGCCCGUCACACCAUGAGAGCCGGGAACACCCGAAGUCCGUAGUCUAACCGCAAGGAGGGCGCGGCCGAAGGUGGGUUUGGUAAUUAGGGUGAAGUCGUAACAAGGUAGCCG